CAUAUGGCUCCAACCAUUACUAUGAAUAAAAUAACUUACUUACUAUCUUUGAUUUGGAUGCACUGACUUUAACUCUCUACAACUUCUUCAUCCAAAUUCUAAAUUCACCAAAUAAUAUAUGAAAAGUAUAGUCAAAGAAGUGCUCUCUUCAAUCCUAGUCGCCGAUUCUUUAUUGCUCUCCGUAAACAUAUGUUAUGUCUCAAAGAGUGAUAGUAGAAAUGAAAUUAAUACCUUAAAUUUGAGUGCUAAUAAGUUCUUCAUAAAAAUUCCAAAUCACACAAAAUUUGUAUCUUAUCCAUAUCCAAAAACCUAAACUUAUUGCUCCUAGCCUCCAAAGCUCGAAUGACUUCAAAAGAGAAACCCUAAUCUCUAAUACGGCCUCAGAAAGCCUCAUUGAAGCCCAUUGGACAUGGCCUUCGACCAAUAUGAAUAAAGAUCUCCAUUCCAUGCCUUCAUUCAACCAUGCCUUGCUUUCAUCCCUCUCAAUAAGUCUCCUAUUAGUCAAAAAUUUGUUCUUUAGGCUCUAAACUCUUCUCAAAUUUU
rnacentral:lncRNA from 1 species